UGCAAGUCGAACGAACUCUGGUAUUGAUUGGUGCUUGCAUCAUGAUUUACAUUUGAGUGAGUGGCGAACUGGUGAGUAACACGUGGGAAACCUGCCCAGAAGCGGGGGAUAACACCUGGAAACAGAUGCUAAUACCGCAUAACAACUUGGACCGCAUGGUCCGAGUUUGAAAGAUGGCUUCGGCUAUCACUUUUGGAUGGUCCCGCGGCGUAUUAGCUAGAUGGUGAGGUAACGGCUCACCAUGGCAAUGAUACGUAGCCGACCUGAGAGGGUAAUCGGCCACAUUGGGACUGAGACACGGCCCAAACUCCUACGGGAGGCAGCAGUAGGGAAUCUUCCACAAUGGACGAAAGUCUGAUGGAGCAACGCCGCGUGAGUGAAGAAGGGUUUCGGCUCGUAAAACUCUGUUGUUAAAGAAGAACAUAUCUGAGAGUAACUGUUCAGGUAUUGACGGUAUUUAACCAGAAAGCCACGGCUAACUACGUGCCAGCAGCCGCGGUAAUACGUAGGUGGCAAGCGUUGUCCGGAUUUAUUGGGCGUAAAGCGAGCGCAGGCGGUUUUUUAAGUCUGAUGUGAAAGCCUUCGGCUCAACCGAAGAAGUGCAUCGGAAACUGGGAAACUUGAGUGCAGAAGAGGACAGUGGAACUCCAUGUGUAGCGGUGAAAUGCGUAGAUAUAUGGAAGAACACCAGUGGCGAAGGCGGCUGUCUGGUCUGUAACUGACGCUGAGGCUCGAAAGUAUGGGUAGCAAACAGGAUUAGAUACCCUGGUAGUCCAUACCGUAAACGAUGAAUGCUAAGUGUUGGAGGGUUUCCGCCCUUCAGUGCUGCAGCUAACGCAUUAAGCAUUCCGCCUGGGGAGUACGGCCGCAAGGCUGAAACUCAAAGGAAUUGACGGGGGCCCGCACAAGCGGUGGAGCAUGUGGUUUAAUUCGAAGCUACGCGAAGAACCUUACCAGGUCUUGACAUACUAUGCAAAUCUAAGAGAUUAGACGUUCCCUUCGGGGACAUGGAUACAGGUGGUGCAUGGUUGUCGUCAGCUCGUGUCGUGAGAUGUUGGGUUAAGUCCCGCAACGAGCGCAACCCUUAUUAUCAGUUGCCAGCAUUAAGUUGGGCACUCUGGUGAGACUGCCGGUGACAAACCGGAGGAAGGUGGGGAUGACGUCAAAUCAUCAUGCCCCUUAUGACCUGGGCUACACACGUGCUACAAUGGAUGGUACAACGAGUUGCGAACUCGCGAGAGUAAGCUAAUCUCUUAAAGCCAUUCUCAGUUCGGAUUGUAGGCUGCAACUCGCCUACAUGAAGUCGGAAUCGCUAGUAAUCGCGGAUCAGCAUGCCGCGGUGAAUACGUUCCCGGGCCUUGUACACACCGCCCGUCACACCAUGAGAGUUUGUAACACCCAAAGUCGGUGGGGUAACCUUUUAGGAACCAGCCGCCUAAGGUGGGACAGAUGAUUAGGGUGAAGUCG
rnacentral:rRNA from 1 species